CGCAUGUGGUGGUACUAAUGCCAUCUGCUGGUCGGUUGGUGUCAUUACAGCUUCACAGACCACAGUUGACUCGUCACUUUAUGAGAUAUUUUGCCACAAAGCUGCAGGACCAAUGUGUUUCUGCUUUGUUAGAUGUAAAAAUACCAACACCAUCUUCGUCUACACUGCUUUUGAGGGGGACAAACGGUUGAAAUACACAAAACAGCAGUGGUUAAGCUUAAUUAGAUCCUUGGAGAGGUACCAAAGGAGCUGACUACGACUCUGAGCUUUGCAUAUGAGGGGAACAACAGGCUACACGCAUUUGGACUUUUUGCAACGUUGAGCUCAGUAGAUGCCUUCUUCUCUGCAGCUGACAUUGAGUGGGUGUGGCCACCAGAGGGCAGCAAAGGUCAGAGCAAACACACCUCGGUUUUCUUACCUUUGUAAGCCCAUCUCUAUGACAAAAAUAAACCAAAUACUUAUAAUACACAAAUUUUCUGAUAUAUUGCAAUACAUGAAUCCAUGUAGAAAUACUUUAAAAAGCUUGAGAAAAAAUUUUGUUCUGUUUGAGUCCUUAAAUUCUAACAGCACAGUGCAGCGCUUACAAACUAUAAUAGUUUCAUUGUACCAUCCACUCAGUUGUUGGUGAUAUUUCUUUUGAAAACUAACAUUUGUUUAAUGUAGUUUCAUGUGGUUCCAAGAAUGCAGAAGACAUUUGUGUCUCCAAACUUGUUUCCUUUGCCCUGGAUUCUGGCAGUCCAAUCGUCAGUGUUCAUUAUCUGCUCUUACAGCUUUGACUUUAGCUCAGCAAUUACAUCCUCAGCUGCACUGAUUAAUCCAACAUGGAGGCAUUUCACAAAAUGGUUUUGAAAAGGCAUUUCCAGACACUUACCACAGAGUAGCUGUGGCACGACUUGUUUAUGCAGAUAGACCACAGCUAGUCAUAUUGCAAUAAGAUGUUUUCCAGGGCCGCUUAAGUGUUCUCUUAACCUCCAGUGUACACUGUGCAGGAAACAAUAGACUGUUUGGAAAGUGAUUAAUUUAAUCUAUUUUCCCCCUGACAUAAAACGGAAGUCUGCCUGAUGUGAUGUUUGGGUAAUGUACGGUCCCCUAUUGUUGAACAUUUUCUGUCUGUAGCCAUUUGUUAAUAUGUUUCCACUGUUGUCUGCUUAACCUUCCAUUCUCUCCUGGCAAUCACAUCAUCAAUCACUGUCCGGUUACUUGACGAGGGAGACAAAGAGAGUGUAUGAGUGAGAAAAACCUUUUGGCCUGUCUCGACAAGCAAGAGGAAUGUCGACUUCAGAGGGCUAACACAGGCAGAAAACAUAGGCCUAGUAAAUAUUCAAUUUAAAGGAUUCCCAGAUAAGACGAGUUGAAAAAUUGAGGCAGCACCCAUUCUUCUAGAUAAGAGAAGACGGAGCCAUCUGGAGGCUGGGAGAUAGCGAACUCCCACGCCAUCCCAGAGACCUCACUCUCAUCUACUGCAGCGGCACAGAAGGAAAAAAUAGAGUGCCAACGCUUUCAUUAUGUUAACUUCAAAAUGAAUUUAUUCAUGUAGUUCCUGCCUUUGGUAAACAGAAGGUUACUGUUGUGUCCACAUCAAGAC